rnacentral:rRNA from 1 species
CCUACGGGAGGCAGCAGUGAGGAAUAUUGGUCAAUGGGCGAGAGCCUGAACCAGCCAAGUCGCGUGAAGGAUGAAGGAUCUAUGGUUUGUAAACUUCUUUUAUAUGGGAAUAAAGUGCGGCACGUGUUCCUUUCUGUAUGUACCAUAUGAAUAAGCAUCGGCUAACUCCGUGCCAGCAGCCGCGGUAAUACGGAGGAUGCGAGCGUUAUCCGGAUUUAUUGGGUUUAAAGGGUGCGUAGGUGGUUAAUUAAGUCAGCGGUGAAAGUUUGUGGCUCAACCAUAAAAUUGCCGUUGAAACUGGUAGACUUGAGUAUAUUUGAGGUAGGCGGAAUGCGUGGUGUAGCGGUGAAAUGCAUAGAUAUCACGCAGAACUCCGAUUGCGAAGGCAGCUUACUAAACUAUAACUGACACUGAGGCACGAAAGCGUGGGGAUCAAACAGGAUUAGAUACCCGUGUAGUC